AGGUACCAGAUUGAGAAGGAUGGCCUAGUGAGAGAGAGCAUCUUGGACGGCCGCGGCGGCGAGGCGCAGCCGGGGGAAGUGGAAGCAGGAACGACGGAAGGGACAGGAGCGGCACCGCCGCGCCCGGCAGGGGGCGCCCGCCGGCCCGGAAAGCUCUGCUCCUUGUUUUUCCACACAACAAUAUCACCUGUGAACACCUGGACAUGGGCAGAACCCUCAUUGAUGCACCAGAAGACACGCUGAGUGCCAGGCAGCUGAUCCUCCGUGACAGGAGCCACCUCCCAAAAAGCCCACCAGGGCAACAGGCCUUCAUUGCGCCUGUCCUUCCAGCUUACGGCUGUGCUGCUGCAGGGGGAUGGGGUCAAAUUCCGGAGGGAGAGAAGGAGGCAAAGCCACCUGCAAUGCAAUCAAGCGACUGCUGUGGGAAGAAGCCAGGCAGCAAAGAAAGGAUGAUUUACUGACACAAGCUAAGCCAAUAUAAACACUUAUGAUACAGGUGCCUGUGCUCUCAGAUAUUGCCUGACUUAAUUCAAUUGUUUUGUAAACUGAUUUAGUUA